CAAUAUUCUUAAAGAACCGCUUGAGAGGCAAAACGUGCAUUUGGGCUCUACUGCUGUCCCACAAGUUUACAUCUAAUCUAUUCCACACUAUGUUUGAUACAUUGUGUUUACAGCCCAGAGACAACAGUGGCCUACUUUCAUUUUCAGAGGUUUUUUUUUUUUUUUUUUACACAUUCCUGCUCCCUGGUCCAUAGAGCUAGUUAGUCUUUUGGUAGAUUGUAGCCUUUCCUAUUUGAACACAUGAGAGAGGUUCCUUCAAAGGCCUAAUUAGGGGGAUCUUUGCUGUUUGGCUUUAGCACAGCGACAGGUGCUCUUAAAGACAC